rnacentral:rRNA from 1 species
UACGGAGGGAGCUAGCGUUGUUCGGAAUUACUGGGCGUAAAGCGCACGUAGGCGGCUUUGUAAGUUAGAGGUGAAAGCCCGGAGCUCAACUCCGGAAUUGCCUUUAAGACUGCAGAGCUUGAAUCCAGGAGAGGUGAGUGGAAUUCCAGGUGUAGCGGUGAAAUGCGUAGAUAUCUGGAAGAACACCGGUGGCGAAGGCGGCCUCCUGGACGGUGACUGACGCUCAUGCACGAAAGCGUGGGGAGCAAACAGG